UACGUAGGGCGCAAGCGUUGUCCGGAAUUACUGGGUGUAAAGCGCGUGUAGGCGGCAGGCCAAGUCUGCGGUGAAAGCGCCCGGCUCAACUGGGCGAGGUCCGUGGAAACUGGUCAGCUGGAGGACGGUAGAGGCGAGUGGAAUUCCCGGUGUAGUGGUGAAAUGCGUAGAGAUCGGGAGGAACACCUGUGGCGAAGGCGGCUCGCUGGGCCGGUCCUGACGCUGAGACGCGAAGGCGUGGGGAGCGAACGGG
rnacentral:rRNA from 1 species